rnacentral:tRNA from 1 species
GAGUAUAUAGCUCAGUGGUAGAGAAAAUGUUUAGCAUUCAUGAGGUCCUGGGUUCAAUCCCCAGUGUCUCCA